GGUUGCGUAGUUCAACGGAUAGAAUACCUGCCUGCCGGCAGGCAGGGACGUUUCAUAAACGUUUGAUAUGGGUUCGAUUUCCGUCACGAUCA
rnacentral:tRNA from 1 species